AGAUUGAACGCUGGCGGCAGGCCUAACACAUGCAAGUCGAGCGGUAGAGAGGUGCUUGCACCUCUUGAGAGCGGCGGACGGGUGAGUAAAGCCUAGGAAUCUGCCUGGUAGUGGGGGAUAACGCUCGGAAACGGACGCUAAUACCGCAUACGUCCUACGGGAGAAAGCAGGGGACCUUCGGGCCUUGCGCUAUCAGAUGAGCCUAGGUCGGAUUAGCUAGUUGGUGAGGUAAUGGCUCACCAAGGCGACGACCCGUAACUGGUCUGAGAGGAUGAUCAGUCACACUGGAACUGAGACACGGUCCAGACUCUACGGGAGGCAGCAGUGGGAAUAUUGGACAAUGGGCGAAAGCCUGAUCCAGCCAUGCCGCGUGUGUGAAGAAGGUCUUCGGAUUAGUAAAGCAACUUUAAGUUGGGAGGAAGGCAGUUAACCUAAUACGUUAGUGUUUUGAACGUUACCGACAGAAUAAGCACCGGCUAACUCUGUGCCAGCAGCCG
rnacentral:rRNA from 1 species